GAGCACGAAGGGGGCGGAGCCGGAGAACGUUUGAAGCGAGCAGGCUGUUGGGAGCCCAAGGAAGGGUGUUGCAGACUCUGCCUGGGAGAUGCCUGUGGAAAGGUUUCCUAGGAGAAGUCAUUGCUUAACACCUUUGAGCCUGAAGUUUCUCAUCUGGAAAAUGGCAGUGAUCGAACCAAUCUCGGGGAAGGAUUUAAAGAUACCUGCUGCUGUCGGGCUCUCUGCUGCUGGUGCGGAGCCUGCUUUGGAUCUUCUGUCCCCCU